UACGUAGGGGGCAAGCGUUGUCCGGAUUUACUGGGCGUAAAGAGCGUGUAGGCGGCCAAACAGGUCCGCUGUGAAAACUGGAGGCUCAACCUCCAGACGUCGACGGAAACCGUGUGGCUAGAGUCCGGAAGAGGAGAGUGGAAUUCCCGGUGUAGCGGUGAAUGACGCAGAUAUCGGAGGAACACCAGUAGCGAAGGCGGC
rnacentral:rRNA from 1 species